GACCUCCUGGGAUUGCAUCUGGAGAGUGACUAGUAUUCUGCCAGCUUUGGAGAUGGGAGGGAAAGAAAGCCUGGCAGAGGUACCCAUUCCAUGCCCAGCUUGCUCAGUAGCUGGUGAUUGGAGACACUCUCUACCACAGUG